rnacentral:rRNA from 1 species
AAAUUCAAGCUAAGUGGGAAACGAUGUGAGGUUACUUAAACAACCAGGAGGUUGGCUUAGAAGCAGCCACCCUUUAAAGAGUGCGUAAUAGCUCACUGGUCAAGUGAUCUUGCGCGGAAAACUUAACGGGGGCUAAGCUUGAUACCGAAGCCAUGGGAUUGCACUUAGAGUGCGAUCGGUAGGGGAGCGUUCUGUUUGCAGAGAAGGUCGACCGUAAGGACGGCUGGAGCGGACAGAAGUGAGAAUGCAGGCAUGAGUAGCGUAAAACACGUGAGAACCGUGUUCGCCGUAUGUCCAAGGUUUCCGACGCCAGGUCAAUCCGCGUCGGGUUAGUCGGGUCCUUAGUCGAGGCCGGAAGGCGUAGAUGAUGGAAAUCCGGUCAACAUUCCGGAACCACUUGAAUGGAGUGAUGGAGGGACGCAGCGAGGUAGGCCAGCCCGUGAAUGGUAGUGCGGGUGCAUGAUACGUCAGACGAUGAGAGUGAUAGGGAAAACCGUCAUUUGAGUU